CUGGGGUCCUCGGGUGGGCGGAGGCGGCGACAGACGCGGGGAUGUCUAGGGGCUCGAAGGUGGUGCUGGGCCUCUCGGUGCUGCUGACGGCGGCGACCGUGGCCGGCGUGCAUGUGAAGCAGCGGCUGGACCUGCAGACUUAUUAAAUCAGAAUACCUUGGAGAUGUGAAAAGCCACCCAGAGGAUUCUAACAUGCACUCAAGAGUUGAAAAUCAUAGUGAUAAAAGAAUGGAGAAACAAAGAGGGUUAUUGCUGGGGCUCCGAGCUUGCACUAUGAAUCCACUGCUCUUGAAGAGGCUUCAUGACGGAGUAAUCAGAGACAUUGAGAGACAGAACCGGAAAAAAGAAAACAUUCGUCUUUUGGGAGAACAGAUUAUUUUGACUGAGCAACUUGAAGCGGAAAGAGAGAUGUCUUUGGCAAAAGGAUCUCAA